rnacentral:rRNA from 1 species
UACAGAGGGGGCAAGCGUUGUUCGGAAUUACUGGGCGUAAAGGGCGCGUAGGCGGCCUGCUAAGUCGAACGUGAAAUCCCCGAGCUCAACUCGGGAACUGCGUCCGAUACUGGCAGGCUUGAAUCCGGGAGAGGGAUGCGGAAUUCCUGGUGUAGCGGUGAAAUGCGCAGAUAUCAGGAAGAACACCCGUGGCGAAGGCGGCUCUCUGGGACGGUACUGACGCUGAGACGCGAAAGCGUGGGGAGCGAACAGG